GAUGAACGCUGGCGGCGUGCCUAAUACAUGCAAGUCGAGCGAACAGACGAGGAGCUUGCUCCUCUGACGUGAGCGGCGGACGGGUGAGUAACACGUGGAUAACCUACCUAUAAGACUGGGAUAACUUCGGGAAGCCGGAGCUAAUACCGGAUAAUAUAUUGAACCGCAUGGUUCAAUAGUGAAAGACGGUUUUGCUGUCACUUAUAGAUGGAUCCGCGCCGCAUUAGCUAGUUGGUAAGGUAACGGCUUACCAAGGCAACGAUGCGUAGCCGACCUGAGAGGGUGAUCGGCCACACUGUAACUGAGACACGGUCCAGACUCCUACGGGAGGCAGCCGUAGGGAAUCUUCCGGAAUGGGCGAGAGCCUGACGGAGCAACGCCGCGUGAGGGAUGAAGAUCUUCGGAUCGUAAAACUCUGUUAUUAGGGAAGAACAAAUGUGUAAGUAGCUAUGCACGUCUUGACGGUACCUGAUCAGAAAGCCACGGCUAACUACGUG
rnacentral:rRNA from 1 species